CUUAGCUUUUACUUUGCUGCCCAACUAAUUUCUCAUGAUACGAUCUUGCCAAUCUGCGCCUCUGAUUACUCCAACCAUUUCCUCGAUCUCUCAUUUCCCAGAUACUGAUGAAGUCCUUUCCCAACGAAGUCUUGUUUCUUCCCAUCUGUCCAGUCCAUACCACAUCCCAGUUCUCUGAAUCUGUCUCUCCUCUUUCGCUUCGGGUUUGGGUUUGGCCUUGAACUCCCUCCACUUUAAGGUUUUCAUUCCUUAAAGUUCCGAUCAACAAACAUACUUACUCGCUGCAACUCAAAAGAACACUUAACAUGCAAGUUAGUUGACAAUUAAUCAAAUAAUCCACAAACCCAGCAAAUACUAACAAUGCAACCUAACCGCAAUUCUAACCAGCAACCUAACAGUUCUACCCAAGCAACCUAACAGUUCUACCCAAGCAACCUAACAGUUCUAGAUUCCACUAUCUCAAUCCAAAUUCCUAAAACCACAAAUCCUAUCGCUGGACGUGACCGGUUUCCCUA
rnacentral:lncRNA from 1 species